ensembl:lincRNA Gm26744 predicted gene, 26744
GAGAGAAGAGAGAGAGAGAGAGAGAGAGAACUCAAGUGUGACAACCAUAAACACAUUGUUCUUGCUAUUGAAUGAAGGAGUCAAAGUGGAAGUUUAGAAGGAUCAAUGCUCCCAAAGGAUGGUCUCAAAUCCUUGAACUGAAGUAAGAACAGAAGUGUUUACUGUAAGGUCGCUGUUGUGAAACGUCUUGUGGCUGGGAGCCUUCACAGGGGGUCUUCUCAUGGAGAUGCCGUGUAAGGCAGAGAAAGGGGACAGCGUUGUUCCGAGACUUUCCACUACUGUUUCAUGCGAGGGAUAGACUACUGAUGGCACAGAGAAUCAACAGAUCACUAUAAAGAAGGUUGCAGACUAUUACUGUGGGAAAAAUGGACCAAAGAAGCUUGCUUAUCUAUGUAAGUUAGGAUUGUUCAUGGCUAAUAUUGUAUAGAAAUGGUGCUAGCAGACCCUGUGUGUACCCCAAAGGCUAUGCCAAAUAUCCAUGACACCACGCUUACUUCAGAAUCAUUGAAUGGGAAGAAGACGAAGAAUAUCCAUACUCAUUCUCUGGACUUACUGUGUUCUCUGUCAAUAAGGUUGGUGAACCAGCACACCAGGCUAGAUGCCAUAUCCUAGCUAGACAAACCUUAAUGGCAUAAUGGAGAGUCAAUGCAUCCUCCCUGCCAAAAGCACGCUUAUUAGUGAAAUAGGUAGGAAUUCCAACUGAUAAUGCCAACUCAUUGGAGCAAGUGGUUUCUCAAUUGAUCAAAUAUUUAGCAACCUCAAAAUACGUCAUCCAUAAUAUAAAUUAUGGUGAUGUGCCAUAACCAAGCUUUUAGAGGUCUAAAAAUACUGCGUAGAACUUAGUGGAAAUGCUUUACACACUAAAAGAGCAGAAUGAAACGGUUUCCAUCUGCACGGCACUGCCCAGCUCACCUGUCUUCUAGACACAGGGUGAGGACUGGGGACAGCUACAGAGAACGGGACAGUUACUGCCUGAAGACCAGUGUGAAGAAUAGAACUAAACUCAAUUCUGCUUAGCCACUCGGGUGUGGUCAUGCGUGUCUCUAGCUCCAGCUUUUGGAAAGUGGAAGCAGGAGGAUCGUAAGUCCAAGGCGAGAGGAAUCUAGGCACAAGGUGACAGUCGCACUCAGGCUCAAGGAGGAUGAGAACAAGAGGUAGCAGACACCCACCUUUUCCAUUUAGGUUUGCCCUCUUCCUGUCCCCAUUUUGAAGGAACUGUCUCUCCUCCUAUUUUCAACCUAUGUGAUUCAGAUGAACACCACUUAGGGUUCAAAAGCAAGCAGAGGCACAAGUCUGGCUACCUCAUGUCUUUGGUUAUGGCUAGUGACAAAGGACAGACAUGUGGCAUAAGCCAGCCAACACAAACGAUCAUACUCAGCCUCAGAAUCCUUGUAACACUACCGGGGACAUUUUUUAAAAAUUAGGAAACUAGCCCUAAGGACAACAUGAGCAGAGACCUGAAUUCUUUUACUAAGGACAAACAACUGCAAAGACAGAUUCCCCCACAACAGGACAGAGCAUCUAACAGACAUGUCUGAAGCCUCUCUCCCCACGUCACAAGGCAACCUUCUAACUUCAUCUUUUUAAAAAGCUUAAACCAUGUGCUUUACCCAACUCUAUAACUCCAGCUCCUCCCCUCAAAUGCACCCAAAAUAUUAACCUUAAAAGAGUCAUAUACUUUGUAUAUUUAUUUUG